rnacentral:tRNA from 1 species
AAAAUCCGUCGACUUUAGAAAUCGUGAGGGUNCAAGUCCCUCUAUCCCCN